rnacentral:rRNA from 1 species
CCUACGGGGAGCAGCAGUGAGGAAUAUUGAUCAAUGGACGAGAGUCUGAACCAGCCAAGUAGCGUGAAGGAUGACUGCCCUAUGGGUUGUAAACUUCUUUUAUAUGGGAAUAAAAUGUUCCACGUGUGGGAUUUUGUAUGUACCAUAUGAAUAAGGAUCGGCUAACUCCGUGCCAGCAGCCGCGGUAAUACGGAGGAUCCGAGCGUUAUCCGGAUUUAUUGGGUUUAAAGGGAGCGUAGGUGGAUUGUUAAGUCAGUUGUGAAAGUUUGCGGCUCAACCGUAAAAUUGCAGUUGAAACUGGCAGUCUUGAGUACAGUAGAGGUGGGCGGAAUUCGUGGUGUAGCGGUGAAAUGCUCAGAUAUCACGAAGAACUCCGAUUGCGAAGGCAGUUCACUGGACUGCAACUGACACUGAGGCUCGAAAGUGUGGGUAUCAAACAGGAUUAGAUACCCGAGUAGUC